GAUGAACGCUGGCGGCAGGCCUAACACAUGCAAGUCGAACGGAUCCUUCGGGAUUAGUGGCGGACGGGUGAGUAACGCGUGGGAACAUACCCUUUGGUACGGAAUAGCCUCGGGAAACUGGGAGUAAUACCGUAUGUGGUCGAGAGACGAAAGAUUUAUCGCCAAAGGAUUGGCCCGCGUUGGAUUAGGUAGUUGGUGGGGGAAUGGCCUACCAAGCCGACGAUCCAUAGCUGGGUUGAGAGGAUGAUCAGCCACACGGGGACUGAGACACGGCCCAGACGCCAACGGGGGGCAACAGUGGGGAAUCGUAGACAAUGGGGGAAACCCUGGUCGAGCCAUGGCGCGUGAGCGAUGAAGGCCUUAGGGUUGUAAGGAUCUUUGAGGUGCGAAGAGGAUGACUGUACCACCAGAAGAAGCCCCGGCUAACUCCGUGCCAGCAGCCGCCGUAACAC
rnacentral:rRNA from 1 species